UCUAAACUGUGCCACAAUAGUCGGAUCAACAGGCUCCUUCAACAGUCAUAAGUGUGAUGACCAACGCCCCUUCCUCUGCUCCAGAGAUGUCAAACCUUCAGCCUCGAGGUCAGUGAAGGUUCAGCUGAGGGUGGGAUCUGCAGACCUGAACGACCCCACAGUGCAAGAAUCCAUCCUGCAGCAGGUGAGGGAGAAGCUGGUGGAGCAAGGGAUCAGAGAGGAGGUGAAGCUGAGGUGGAGGACGCAGCCUGAUGGGAAGGUUUUCCACAGAGAGGAGGAGACAGCC